CCUACGGGCGGCAGCAGUGGGGAAUAUUGCACAAUGGGGGAAACCCUGAUGCAGCGACGCCGCGUGAGUGAAGAAGUACUUCGGUAUGUAAAGCUCUAUCAGCAGGGAAGAAAAUGACGGUACCUGACUAAGAAGCCCCGGCUAAAUACGUGCCAGCAGCCGCGGUAAUACGUAGGGGGCAAGCGUUAUCCGGAUUUACUGGGUGUAAAGGGAGCGUAGGUGGCGUGGUAAGCCAGAAGUGAAAACCCGGGGUUCAACCCCGCGUAUUGCUUUUGGAACUAGCAGGCUGGAGUGCUGGAGGGGUAAGCGGAAUUCCAGGUGUAGCGGUGAAAUGCGUAGAUAUUAGGAGGAACACCGGUGGCGAAGGCGGCUUACUGGACAGAAACUGACGCUGAGGCUCGAAAGCGUGGGGAGCAAACAGGAUUAGAUACCCUAGUAGUC
rnacentral:rRNA from 1 species